rnacentral:rRNA from 1 species
UACAGAGGUCUCAAGCGUUGUUCGGAUUCAUUGGGCGUAAAGGGUGCGUAGGUGGCGGGGCAAGUCAGGUGUGAAAUCUCGGGGCUCAACCCCGAAACUGCACUUGAUACUGCCUUGCUGGAGUACUGGAGAGGAGAUUGGAAUUUACGGUGUAGCAGUGAAAUGCGUAGAUAUCGUAAGGAAGACCAGUGGCGAAGGCGAAUCUCUGGACAGUUACUGACACUGAGGCACGAAGGCCAGGGGAGCAAACGGG